rnacentral:rRNA from 1 species
AACGCAUCCUUCGGGAUGAGUGGCAGACGGGUGAGUAACGCGUGGGAACGUACCCUUUACUACGGAACAACUCCGGGAAACUGGAGCUAAUACCGUAUGUGCCCCCCUUUAAAAUGUCAGGGACAUAAAAUGCUGGCAUUUUAUGGGGGGAAAGAUUUAUCGGUAAAGGAUCGGCCCGCGUUGGAUUGCUAGUUGGUGGGGUAAAGGCCUACCAAGGCGACGAUCCAUAGCUGGUCUGAGAGGAUGAUCAGCCACAUUGGGACUGAGACACGGCCCAAACUCCUACGGGAGGCAGCAGUGGGGAAUAUUGGACAAUGGGCGCAAGCCUGAUCCAGCCAUGCCGCGUGAGUGAUGAAGGCCCUAGGGUUGUAGAGCUCUUUCACCGGAGAAGAUAAUGACGGUAUCCGGAGAAGAAGCCCCGGCUAACUUCGUGCCAGCAGCCGCCGUAAGAC